UACGUAGGGGGCGAGCGUUGUCCGGAUUUAUUGGGCGUAAAGAGCUCGUAGGCGGCUUGGCAAGUCGGGUGUGAAACCUCCGGGCUCAACCUGGAGACGCCACUCGAUACUGCCAUGGCUAGAGUCCGGUAGGGGACCACGGAAUUCCUGGUGUAGCGGUGAAAUGCGCAGAUAUCAGGAGGAACACCGGUGGCGAAGGCGGUGGGCUGGGCCGGAACUGACGCUGAGGAGCGAAAGCGUGGGGAGCGAACAGG
rnacentral:rRNA from 1 species